UUUACUGAUGAAUCCAAAUUUAUUGUCAACUUAAAAAGAAAUAAAGCCCAAAUCAGAAUUGUAUUGUGGAGAUAUGUGAAGAGAUUGAAAACACAAAAUUGAUAUCAACACUGCAGCUACAUACAUCUCAGCAAGACAGAGAACUAGUUCACAUUGCCUAUUCUAACACAUACAAUUCUUCAGAUUUACCAAGACACCCACAGAUAACAAUGUUGGUUGAAAGAAAACUUUUACUUUUAAUUUGGAAUGAUGAACAAAAAAAAUAAUUAAUUUGUUUCAAAUGUUUCACAUAUCUCAGAAUGCUAUAGUGUCAAGGAGUUCGUCAAUUCUUUGACAUUGGCACAAAGAUUAUAAAUUGUGAAAGGAAAGCAGUUAAAGGGUUAAAAGUGUGCUGGGGAUCAUGGUUAUAAUUAUUUCCAUUAUAGGAGAUUAAAAGUCAGGUGAGCAGUUAUAUAAUGGAACACUUAUAAGUCAGUUUAUACAAAUAAAAAGAUGUUUGUGGACAUUAUGUCUUUUUCUAUGCUACUUGCAGAACAGACCACAGAAAAGAAUCAUGUCAAUGUUUGAUGUAAUCUUUCUAAGGCUAUUCUUGAAGCCUGAAGGUAGCAGCUACAACUAGGCAAUAUUUAAUGAUUAGCAAAAUGCUUAAAAACGAAUAUAAAAUAACCAUGAAAUUAACUAUUACAGGCCAUGGAAAUUAGAAGUGUCUUCACUCUUUUUACAUUCUAGCUCUACAUUAUUACAAAUCCUAUG